rnacentral:rRNA from 1 species
GAUGAACGUUGGCGGCGUGCCUAAUACAUGCAAGUCGAACGAAGACUGUAGUAAUACUGUCUUAGUGGCGAACGGGUGAGUAACGCGUGGGUGACCUGCCCCGAAGUGUGGGAUAACAGUCCGAAAGGAUUGCUAAUACUGCAUAAUAUCCAAGAGAUUAGAUGCUUUUGGAUUAAAGGAGUAAUUCGCUUCGGGAGGGGCCCGCGUCCCAUCAGCUAGUUGGUAAGGUAAUGGCUUACCAAGGCGAUGACGGGUAGGGGACCUGAGAGGGUGGCCCCCCACAAUGGAACUGAAACACGGUCCAUACACCUACGGGUGGCAGCAGUAGGGAAUAUUAGUAAUGGGCGAAAGCCUGAACUAGCAACGCCGCGUGCAGGAAGGAGCCCUUCGGGGUGUAAACUGCUGUCGUGUAGGGAGAAGGGUACUAAGGUGAACAAUCUUAGUACUUGACGGUACUACAGGAGGAAGCCCAGGCUAACCUCGUG